GCAGGUGGUCGCUGCCGGAACCGCGAAAGCUACCGGGAGAGGAAAGUCCGGGCUUCAUAGAGCAGGAUGCCUGAUAACGUCAGGUUGAGGUGACUCACAGGACAGUGCAACAGAAAUAAACCGCCGGCUUGUCCGGUAAGGGUGCAAAGGCAGUGUAAGAGACUACCGGUCUCGUGGUAACAGGAGACGCUCUGUAAACCCCAUCCGAAGCAAGACCAAACAGAAGGCUAAGGGCUGCUCGUCUGCCUUCGGGUAGGUCGCUUGAGACUUAUGGUGACAUAAGCCCUAGAUAGAUGACCGCUUAAUACAUAACCCGGCUUACAGCAGUAC
rnacentral:RNase_P_RNA from 1 species